GUUACCAGUGAUUAGAAAGUGCUUGAAGUCCCACGCACCCCCAGAGGACAACUUUUUCUUCAACAGCAAUUUGCCGCUCGGUGAAUAAUGAAAUACCACAAUUACCACAUGGUGUCGCUGCUGUCCCACAUCUAUCCACAGCUGCAGCUCACCUGAUAUGGACACCUGUUGUGUCGUUUCAUCCAGGAAUGGACAGAAGAAUGGCGCAGAUGUUCAUCUAUCUCAGAGAGCACUGUUAAAGUUUUAGCACCAUCUUAUCAAAGUGCUGAAAAGUGGAAGUCAGAGGAAACAUGACCAACCUGCUGCAAAACAAUAACACAAAAGGUCUGGACUCUGGAGUGCAUCAUUACUAGUUUGGUCAUCUACAUUCAGAUGAAAACACCACACUUCUCUCUAAUUCAAGAUGUCAAGCUUACUCAUCGCAAAGAGAGUUAGCAUCAAAAUGGACGUGACACUGACCAAUAACACAGAGAUGCCAGAAGUAUCUGUUUGCAGUUUACUUUUUGUUCAGUAUGGAGCAUCCAAAAUCCAUCACUCAGUUAAUUUCAACCAGCACGAUUUAGCCCUUCCCAGUGCUGAAAUUGUCAUGGGUCCUUUGUUUUUAUUGUUUAAAUGCUUAUCUGAAUGUAAAAUUAAUAUUUAAUGCUUAUAAAAAAACAAACAAACAAAAAACAAUACUAUAGUUAGUCUUUUAGCUCCCUUUUCAGAAACAUGUGGUUCACCAUCUUUCAUGGGUUACAGAACUGGGGAAAGUUGCAGCUUACAAAAAAAAGUCAGACUACUUGGUUUAGAGGGGAAUGUGGAGUAAAUAUUUGAUAUUUAAGGUAAAGGGUAAUGACCUGGUGGUGAGAUGCAAAAUAAGAGUGUCAUCAUUAAUAUACUAUUUGAUGACAAAAUUUUCACAUUCUAAUUUUACUUAUGUAUUUAAUUUUUUUUAAUUAUUUUUGCAAGUUAACUUUAUUUGUGCAAGUUAACAUUAAAUUUAUUUAUUUAUUUUUUGUGGUUUCUAGCAAUCAACAUAUGUUUGUGACUGACAUGUUGGAUGGGUGAGUAAGGUGGAGGGGGUUGAAAAAAACAAUAUUUCUAAAAUGGAGAGUGCUAUUUUAGACAGGUAAAAAUAAUAAAGUAUAAAUAAAUAAAGAAACAUGGAUUUAUGUUAAUCCCUGUAACUGUUGCACUAUGAAUUGCUGUGUUAUAUAUUGCUCGUCAUUGUAAAUGCUAAUAAAAGUGUCUUAAAUGA